UUUUUCGGGGGCAACCUUCUACUGUCAAGAUGAAGAUCGGCUGUGUCCUUGUGGCGCUUCUCUUCUGUGGACUCAUUUCUCAGAUUGAUGGUGUAUGCCGCUGCAGACGGGGAUGUCGCUACCACCCAAGACGUCAGUGUAGGGGGAUAUCAAAUAAAUGUUACGAUGGGUGGUCUGGUGCCUAUUGCCAAAGAAAAAAUGUCGCCUUCGAAGGAAGAAACUGCUCAAGAAUGAUCAUUACUCGGUGAUGAUGAGUCCUGAAAGUGCUGUGGACGGACACACUAAUACAGGCACCACAAUGCAAUGUGCCAUGACAGGGGACGCUAACAACGCAUGGUGGAAUGUUCUGGCUUUCCAGGAACGGAAUCAAUCAAAUCAAAUUCAUGAAAAUAUACAGCGCAGAAUACGAUCCUGAAAGACGGACGGACCGGAAUGGAAAUUCUGAGUCCAAUGGGAGUCUGUGCUACCAGGUUUCCACCAUGGGAUAUCCCUGAAGUAGUAGAAUCCAUCGCAUGUGCUGAAACCAUGGUUGGAGAUGUUGUUACCAUCCGGGUCCCUGGCUCUCAUCUCACGCUGUGUGAGGUGGAGGUCUAUGUUUGCGCUGACUACUGGUUUGGGCUGAAUUGCGACAAGGAGUGCCACUGUUCAAUCCGAGGUGAAAUUUGCGAUAAAGGAACUGGCGAGUGUGAGAGAGUGGAUGUGCUCAAGGGUAUAGCGGGACAGACUGUCAGUGAGGCGCUGUAGAUAGGAGACGAUGGUACCACAUGCUUUCCUUGCCCACAACAAUAGCAAUUGCUACAACACAGUUAACGAUAUGUUUUUGUAAAGGAGAUAACUGUAUCACAAUAAACCUUUAGUUCAUCA